rnacentral:rRNA from 1 species
CAUUAAUUAAUGUAAGAUAUGUAAGUAACUCUAUGGUGAGAUACCUUUUGCAUCAUGAUCUGUUGAAUAAAACUAAGGAUCUUAGUGUUCCGAAGGAUGGCGAUUUUUGGUGGGCUCGGUUGAGGAAAAAGCAGUGAGCGGGUAGCUCUUGUUAAAGUCUACUAAAGGAGUGAUAAGUUAUUCGUGCGUUCUUAUAUCUGAUUAGUAAAUAUAAAUUAUCUAAUUAAACUUUUUGCUAUGAUGUGAAAAGUUAGGUAAGAGACAAAAAACGCAAUUAAAUUUCAGGGGAUAGAGGUUUCCCGGGUUAAAAUGUUUGUUAUAAAUUGAUUAGUUGGUAGAAUAGGUCUUUAAUUGGGUGUUUACUAAUAUAAUUAGUUGAUAAGUAAUGAUAGAAUAAGUAGUUUUAGAAUAGUUCUUUUUUAUCUCGUGUUGUGCCAGUCUGUUUAUUAAAAACAUUUCCAUUAUAAAAUUAUUGAUGGUAGUGCCUGCCCAAUGUUAUAGAUUAAUGGCCGCAGUAUUUUGACUGUGCAAAGGUAGCAUAAUUAGUUGCCUCAUAAUUGGGGGAUUGUUUGAAUGGUUUGACUAGGUAUAAAUUUUGAGAUGGGAGUUAAGUAUGAAAUUGGUAUUGAGGUGCAGAACCCUCAGUGAAAAAAUAAGACGGAAAGACCCCGAGAUCUUAGACAGCUGGAAUGUUUGUUUGGGGCAAAAGCAAAUUGUUUAUAUGCUUUGUGAGCCUAGCAUGAAUAUGUCGGGUUAUAGGUUAAAGUUACCUCGGGGAUAACUGGGUAAGAGGUGAUUAGAGGUCAUAUCGAUUCAUUUAGUUGCUACCUCGAUGUUGACUUAGGAAGGUGCAGAGGUGUAGUAGUUUCUGUUAGAGGUCUGUUCGACCUGUAGUUUCUUCCAUGAGUUGAGUUAAGACCGGCGUGAGCCAGGUCGGUUCUUAUCUAUUAUUCUAGUAAUAUAGUACGAAAGGAAUUAUUACUAUUUAUGUU